rnacentral:tRNA from 1 species
GGACCAUUAGCUCAGUUAGGUCUAGAGCAGGGGUCUCAUAAACCUCAGGUCCAAGGUUCAAAUCCUUGAUGGUCCACCA